AACGAACGCUUGCGGCGCGCCUAAUACAUGCAAGUCGAACGAGAAAGGCCCUUCGGGGACGAGUAAAGUGGCGGACGGGUGAGGAACGCGUAGAUAACCUGCCCUUCAGCGGGGGAUAACUACUCGAAAGAGUAGCUAAUACCGCAUAAGACUACGACCUCUGCGGAGGAUGUAGUUAAAGGCUUCGGCCACUGAAGGAUGGGUCUGCGUCCGAUUAGCUUGUUGGUGGGGUAAAAGCCUACCAAGGCUACGAUCGGUAGCUGGUCUCAGAGGAUGAUCAGCCACACUGGAACUGAGACACGGUCCAGACUCCUACGGAGGCAGCAGUAGGGAAUAUUGCACAAUGGAGGAAACUCUGAUGCAGCGACGCCGCGUGAGCGAUGAAGGCCUUCGGGUUGUAAAGCUCUGUGAUAGGGGAAGAUAAUGACGGUACCCUAUCAGAAAGGACCGGCUAACUUCGU
rnacentral:rRNA from 1 species